AAGCUGGCCUCUGUAAACAAGCUAGUGCCUGAAGAUGAGUCCGCGGCCCAUCAGCUAGUUGGCGGGGUAAUGGCCCACCAAGGCAACGACGGGUAGCUGGUCUGAGAGGACGAUCAGCCACACUGGAACUGAGACACGGUCCAGACUCCUACGGGAGGCAGCAGUGGGGAAUCUUGCGCAAUGGGCGAAAGCCUGACGCAGCAACGCCGCGUGAGUGAUGAAGGUCUUCGGAUCGUAAAGCUCUUUCGGCAGGGAAGAAUGGCCCCUGGGUGAACAAUCCAGGGGCGUGACGGUACCUGCAGAAGAAGCACCGGCUAACUCUGUGCCAGCAGCCGCGGUAA
rnacentral:rRNA from 1 species